rnacentral:tRNA from 1 species
GUGGGUAUAGCUCAGUGGUAGAGCGUAUGCUUAGCAUGCAUGAGGGCCUGGGUUCAAUCACCAAUACCUCCA